GCCCCUAUAGUUAAAUGGAUAUAACAAGUUCCUCCUAAGAAUUAGUUCCAGGUUCGAUUCCUGGUAGGGGUG
rnacentral:tRNA from 1 species